rnacentral:tRNA from 1 species
GCCGGGAUAGCUCAGAUGGUAGAGCACCGCACUUGUAAUGCGGAUGUCACGAGUUCGAUUCUCGUUCCCGGCUCCA